CAGAGUUCAUGCCCUUCGGGGUAGACCUCCCACCCUUUGUAUACAUUGCCUUUGUUGCUUUGGCGGAUCGCCUUUUGGCCACCGGCUCCGGCUGGUGCGCGUCCGCCAGAGACCCCCAACUCUGUUUUACAGUGUCGUCCGAGUACUAUAUAAUAGUUA
rnacentral:misc_RNA from 1 species